GACGAACGCUGGCGGCGUGCUUAACACAUGCAAGUCGAACGGAAAGGCCCUGCUUUUGUGGGGUGCUCGAGUGGCGAACGGGUGAGUAACACGUGAGUAACCUGCCCUUGACUUUGGGAUAACGUCAGGAAACUGGGGCUAAUACCGGAUAGGAGCUCCUGCUGCUUGGUGGGGGUUGGAAAGUUUCGGCGGUUGGGGAUGGACUCGCGGCGUUUCAGCUUGUUGGUGGGGUAGUGGCUUACCAAGGUUUUGACGGAUAGCCGGCCUGCGAGGGUGACCGGCCACAUUGGGACUGAGGUACGGCCCAUAAUCCUACGGGAGGGAGAAGUGGGGAAUAGUGCACAAUGGACGGAAGCCUGAUGCAGCAACGCCGCGUGCGGGAUGACGGCCUUCGGGUUGUAGUCCGCUUUCGCAUGUUACGAAGCGUGAGUGACGGUAAUGGGUAAAGAAGCACCGGCUAACUACGUG
rnacentral:rRNA from 1 species